CUCAGAUUGAACGCUGGCGGCAGGCCUAACAACAUGCAAGUCGGAGCGGUAGAGAGGUGCUUGCAUCUCUUGAGAGCGGCGGACGGGUGAGUAAUGCCUAGGAAUCUGCCUAGUGGUGGGGAUAACGUUCGGAAACGGACGCUAAUACCGCAUACGUCCUACGGGAGAAAGCGGGGAUCUUCGGACCUCGCGCCAUUAGAUGAGCCUAGGUCGGAUUAGCUAGUUGGUGAGGUAAUGGCUCACCAAGGCGACGAUCCGUAACUGGUCUGAGAGGAUGAUCAGUCACACUGGAACUGAGACACGGUCCAGACUCCUACGGGAGGCAGCAGUGGGGAAUAUUGGACAAUGGGCGAAAGCCUGAUCCAGCCAUGCCGCGUGUGUGAAGAAGGUCUUCGGAUUGUAAAGCACUUUAAGUUGGGAGGAAGGGUAGUAACCUAAUACGUUGCUACUUUGACGUUACCGACAGAAUAAGCACCGGCUAACUUCGUG
rnacentral:rRNA from 1 species